ensembl:lncRNA
AACUCUUUGGCUCUACAGGUCUCUCCUACAAAAGCCUUAUCUUUACUUGAGAAAAGUGAGAGGGUGAUGGAGGACACAGCAGCUGGGCCACCAUGUCUGAACACAGAGGUGACAUACUUGGAUGGAACUUACACGGAUCCUCUCCCUGCACACUCAUCCACAAUCAUUCUUUUUUGAACCACAGCAGCACUGUGAUUGGAAUUUCUACUUUGGAGAUGUUUUUAGUGAUAGUCUACCACACUUUGGUCAUUCUGCAAUCCUCUGCAAGUCCAACCUCAAGACGAAAUGUGCUGAUUAAAAGAUACGCUGCAGGUACUGGAGGAACACAAUGAAAAGGCAGAGUGCAGUGAAUUAAUCUUGUCUCUCAGCAGUGCUAUUUGGAGAACUUCUUGAAGCCAGUGGAAUCAUAGAAUGGCCUGGGUUGAAAAGGACCACAAUGCCCAUCUAGUUCCAACCCCCUGCUAUGUGCAGGGUCACCAACCACCAGACCAGGCUGCCCAGAGCCACAUCCAGCCUGGCCUUGAAUGCCUCCAGGGAUUCUCCUUGAAUAACUAAGAACUAUGAGCUGUUUGGUAUGAGCAAUAAUGGUUGGAAGUAUUUCUCUUCUUGGUGGACUUGGCUGUAUAACUUGUUGGUGUACAGAUACCCAGUCCUUCUACCACCUUUGAGAUUCCUCGCUCAAAGAAAUAAUUUCCAAGAAGAAAAGAGGUUCCUCAAAGUGAUUUAAUUUUGCCAUGGAACUCAUGCUUGUGAAGAUGCACGAGGUUAUCACCAAGAGCAAGUAACUUAGUUAGAAAGCUAAUUUUAUAUUAUUUUUCUCAUUAAGUUCUCAUUAAAUUCAGUUCUGCAGAGUCACUAAUAUGAGUAAAAAAAUUGUCUUAGUUCAGUGAAAUCGUGUAGAUUCAUUACUUAUAUACACUAUACAUGUUAAGAGGGAGAGUUGUAAGUCAAAACACUUGAGGAAGCAUAGAUGUAAACGUGGAACCUCUUCAUACACUAAAGAAGAAAAUCUUUUGGAUUGCCUGUGCUUGCCAAUGACCUGAAGAAACAGUUAAAAAAUGAUUUUCCAAAUGCAUAAUUUUUUUAAACAAUAUGUUUCUAGACUAGGUUACUUCAGAGACAGUGCAGCUAUGGGAGCAGCAGUGUACGUAUUAUGAGACCACUUCUUGAGGAGGAGAGCUUUACAGUAACUGUUAUGAAGACUUGCAUUUUCUAUGCUCUCUCCUGCAGUAAAGUUAGAAACUAAACCAACAGUGACCUGUGGUCUAGGAAUAAACAAUAGAAUUACUGUGGAAGCUGAGGAUGUUUUAACUACUUACAUCUUUAACGAUCCCUCAUCCCACUCAAUGCAGUUGAAGCCACACGUCUGUGUAACAUCUUCCAAAUGCAUCUGCAUAUUUACAUAGUCCCUGCAGGUUAUACUCUGAGGGCUGUGUGAAUGUGAAAAUUAAAUAAAUAGGUAAUUGAGAUUCCAUAUAAUUUAGUACAUGUCCUUUGUUUUCUUGGACAAGGCUCACUGCUUAAAUCAUCCUGACUGCACAUGGGAAAUCACAGUUCUGCUGCUUCUCUCUGUGCAUUGAAAGUUCUAGUGCUGACAGAAUAAUUACUUGUAAUGUAUAAGCAUUUUUCCUAUUGUGAUAAACCCACUGAGAGAAGCACUAAAUACAGGACAUCCCAUGCUGCUUUUGCAAUGGCAUGUCCUGAAGAGUGCAAUCAAAUUAUGGCCAUGGCAGUGUUCUCAUUGCUAAAAUGUCAUCAUCUUUGUUAUUUCCCUUGACUUGCUCCAAUAUUUUCAAAGUCAAUUUAAAGUGCAAUAAAGUCAGAUUAUUGAGGCUGUGGUGGCUAAAAGGUUGCAUUACCAAGCAGUGUUUUUCAUCCCACAUGCAGCAGCAUGAUUUACAGCAGCAGGAUUUCUUUUCCAAACUAAUUCCUCACCUCCAUUUUAAAACAACCUUCUCUUGGAAAAUGACUUUACUGAUUUUUCCUCCUUCACUCAGUUACACUCAGCUGACAAUUAUCCUUCCUUACAGCAAUGACUGGAUGUGUGCUUCAGGUUCUGUCUGCACUGACCAACACCCAGCUGUCCCACGUUCACUUUGUCAUUCUUGCUUACUCCUCCUGGUCUGAAUUUUGUUAGACCUUAAAUUGUGUCCAAAUAUUGUUGAAUCGUUACAAGAAACAAAAAGUUUCAAGUACCUAAGUUAUACUACUGUCAUCAAAAAAUGCAAAGCAAGUGCAUGACAUUCCAAAUUAUGUGGAAAUUACUUUUGAGAGCCUUUGCAAACCUCUGUCUUAAAACUAUUUGCCGCUUACUACAUGCUUCCCCAUUAAAUACAGUGGUUUAAUUUACUAUUGAAAAGAUGAGAGCAUGGAGGGGAACUAUCAAGCAGAAUUUUCACCUGGGAUCACAGCUGCAUUGCUUAUAGCAAUUUGUCUCCAGUGAAAUCGAUGGACUACACUCUCCACUGGGGAUCUGAAUCCUGAAUUACACUUUGGACGCAGAUCUCCAGGGUAGAGAUGCUAAUGGACUAAUUGCUCUGUGUCAGCUACUUCUGUCAGAAGACAGUGAAUUACCUUGUGCUGUUGGUUAUCAUCCAUCUAAGUCUUCCAUCUAGACAUAAAUAUAUGAGAGAUCCAGCUGAGAGAAAACAAAACACUUUUGGUUAUAACAUGUUCUGUGGCUAUAUAGUUGUUUCCCUUUGGCAAGCAGCACAGAAGUAUUCCUCCCUUGUGUAAAAAUUAACUAACCCUUGAAGAAGUUUUCCUCUUAUCCUUGUGCAUGAGUUUUCUCUAGUUGCGCCCAAAAGUGAGUGAUAUAAUAACACCUAAUGGAUUGAGUCAAAUGUGCAGGCAAGUGGAAUUUGACUUAAAUUCAUGACAAAAUCAUGCAGAUUGUGCAGCUGAUUUGCACACCCAUUGUUGCUGGCAUGGAACAAAACCUAUUUAGAGAGCAAUUGCUGAAGAAUGAAGUUAUAUCCUAAAUUCGUGUUCUGUCUCUAGGGUGACUGCUGUCCUUGUUCACUUUUGCUACUUCUUUGAAUUUGUGGAAGUAAAAUAGAAAUCUUCCCAGAAUGUAUAAGGAGACACAAACUCUAUCCAUCUCAGUUCUCUAACUUUAGACCCAUAGAAUCAUAGAAUUACUCAGGUUGGAAAAGACCUUCAAGAUGAUCAAGUCCAAUUGCAACCAAACCAUACCACCCUAAUGCUAACGUAACCUCCUUCCUCAUGCCACUUCUUCAGUUCUAGCCUUUUAUUUCUUGCCUUGAUGUCUUCCAUUCAUAAUAAGAUUUGUGUUUGGAGGGGAGGAAUUGAAUCUCCAAUCAAGCAGUUUUCAGACCAACUCACAGGAUACUUAAAAUUACAAUUUACCACUGCCUAUGUAAUCCAGGAUGGACAAGGUGAUGGCUUUUCUGGAAUAAUUGAAACAUCUCUUAUCUGUAUAAAAUGUUCCCCAUCAUUACUUCACAGGUAAAGUUCUAAGUCUACAAAGAUGGAGAAGUGCUUAACUAUACUUAUUUCUGUAGGAAUUGUGUACCACUGCAGCAUUGUUUUAGCAGAAAGGGACAGUCACAAGUGUAAAAGUAUAGAAGGCAUAAUGGCUUUAUUUCCCCUUCAGUUGAAUUGCUGCACAAUGUAAAUAGUUCAUUACAUUGUUUAUUACAUUAACACCCUUAAGCUUUUCAAAUCACGUUAAAAAAAAAUGAAACCACAAAGAAAAAAAUGAAAAGGAAAAAAAUGGUGAUGGAUGUUUUAAAUCCAAGAAAUGAUUGAAAUGUAAUCCCUAAUGCUGUUGCAUUUUCCCUGGAAAGUCUCAGAAUUUAGGAAGUUAAUUAUUUUUUAAUAUAGAUUUCAAUGUUGUCUGCAAUUCAAAUCUUGAAUUAUUCCUUUGCGUGUAUAAGACAAAUUUCCACUGAGAACAACUUAGUUCUAAAAUAAAUUAUAUCCUUAUGUAAAUAUUAAAUAAUAGAUUUUCUGGUGAUUUAAAAGUAAUACUUGUUUACAGUGUAUGUUUGUGUAUUCUAAAAGUAAUGAAUAGAAGAUAUAAUGUGAUGAAAGAAGUCUUACAAGCAGGAAUAACUUUAUUGUUUGUAUGCAGUGGAGCAUAACUGGGCUACUUGAAAGGAACUACCACUAAGAUGCAGGUUUUUGGGACACCCAGGAAAGAAAAAAUGAAAGUGAAUAAUAGGAAAAAUAAAAAAUAAAAAGUCAGACUUGGAGAUUUCUGCUCUUUCCACUGAACUUCCCUUUGGAUGAGUCAGAGGAAGGUGGGAAAUUAUAAGAAGAUCACCCUGUGAAGAUCUAUGAAAAUCUAGUCAGAUAAUCAACUGAGACUGAAGAAUGAUUCUUCUCACCCUGAAGUGCACAUCUAAAAUAGAUCAGACAGUCAAACCUCAGAAUUGUUGGCUGUUAAGUGAGGUCAGCACGACUAGCUUUGUAGCAGAAGUUCACUACAGAUGUCUAAAGCCAGAUGAGAAGUAUCACCUCAUUAAUUAAUUCAAGCACAGUAUGAAUGUAGUAAAGGACCAGCGCACCAGCAAAGGCAGCUAUACAAAAGCUCUUCUGUGUGUUGAUAGGCAGUAGAGGUGCCAGUGAUAAAUUGGGCUGCACGUGGAACAAGAUUAAAAGUAUUAAGUUGGAGUGCAUUGCCUUGUACGUGAAUUUACUGAGUAGCUUCAAAGGGAAUGUAUGUUCAGUUAUGAUGGUUUGAGGGGAAAAAAAUUUUGUCAUUUUGUAUUGUCACAAAGGAAGACAUUCUACGUAAGUGCUAGAAGAUAAGGGAAAUCAUGGAAAACCUGUUAUAUGAAGGAUUCAGAAAGACUUGGAUUGUUAGCAUGUGGAAGGAGACAAAGAAAUAUAGCAAUAAAAGCUGGGUUCACUGUGGUUGUAUGCUUGUUUUGUCACAGAUGUUCAGGGCACAAACUACCCUAACAAUGGCAUCCCUAAACUUGGUGUCCAGAUCUGAGAUAGUCACCUUGGGCUGCAAUAGAAGGGAAAAUGAUUAUUCUAUACUUACCAUUAGCAAGUGAUAUUCUUCCAUGUCUUGGAAAGCAGGGUCUCAAUGGACAUAGCAGCCAUUUGGGAGGACAGACAAGUUGAAAAGUGGUACAGGGGGUCUGCUUCUCCUCUCACUGUAGAAAUGAGCUAUGGACCUCACUGUUGCAUCAAUUGACUGACACUGCUCCAAGAUGAGUAAGAUUCAAAGAGAAACAGUGAUUACAUGGCUGAAAAGAAUAUCCAGAUAUAGCACAAAAGAUAAAAUUACACAGGAAGGCUAUAAAAUCUUCAGAUUUGAAAAGAUCAAGAUAUCCUUUAUUUUUUGUUGCUCAGAAGAGAUAAUCUGGGUUACAGACUGUAACGUCUGCUUAUUACAAACCAUUUUACACUUUUCUCCAGUCAAUGUUCUUUCUCAGGAAAGAAGUCCCUAGGCUAUUUCUCUGAUCCUAUAUGGACAUUUUUAUGUUGCUAGAGAAGAUGGAAGUCUCCAUUUGUGUUUAACAUGGGAUUUCCUCUUCUAGAUGGAAAUCAUCCAGUCUCAUUGAUUAAGUGCAAUUUCCACACACUUCAGUACAGCUCUGCAGGAUUUAAUGACUGCACCCAGCUGAGCAAUAUUCUCUGGAUUUGAUUCACUAUACAUAUUAAUUUUAGAGCCUGUCUCAAAUAACCUUCAUUGAUUUCUUCAUCAUAUAUACAAGUCUAACCUUGUUUGACUGGUUGCUUGAAAUGCAGUGCCAUUAUUCAGUGGAACAGGAAUUAAGACAGGCUGAUGUGGCUGAACAGAAUUAACGGUUUAAAAAAGUUGUCUGUCUGUGCUGAUGCAUUUGAGAAGAAAAGUGAUGGGGAUUCUGAGCACAGCAAGACCUGCAAGGUGCUUUGUAAAGCAAGUUACUUUCAGGAGAAAAAAAAAAAACAAAAACUGUAUGAAUGGUACAUUAGGCAUGAUCUGAUAAUAACCCCAAAAAUGUCUAAAAUGGAUACAAAUUGCAAAUCCACAGCUGUGACAAUGCAACUAUGGAUUUCUGGCCUCAUAGAUUUAGAGGAGCAAUAAAUGCCAUUGCCAAACUAGUUAAAAGCAACGGCUGAAAGUGUGUAAGUUAGACUAGCUGGAAAGUAAAUGUUUGGAAAAUGCUUUGAGAUUUCAUGUCAUUUCCUUGGGAUAGAACACUCUGAGGCAUCAGUAACUUCAUUUUCCAUUGUGGUGAACUUCAGAGCAAAAGAUUUAAAGACAAUCUCUAUAUGCUUUCUCCCAGAAAACUAUAAGCUUAAUGACUCGUUUUAUUAAAAGCUGAAUUCCAGGAAGUCUAAGUAGUCAUGGUGUGUUUUUUAUUUGUAAUGCUUUCAUCCGUAAGCACUGUUAUUUUUGUCCUUAUCCUGUACCUCUUAGCAAGCUUGCUUUUCUUGUUAUGAG